GUGCGGUCCAAUUCACGGUGGUUUCCAAGCGCCUCCUGGGGGAGAAAACACAUGAGGGUGCGGUCAGGGUUCUCUGCUGACAGACUUACCUUGGGGAAGAAAGAGAAGCUCUGAAGAUGGAUCAUGGCCGUGACUGCAUGUCAAGGAGAGUCUCCUUGAUGACACUGAGGCCUACGUCGAGAGAGACAAAAUGUGGUCCAAUUAAAAGGUUAGGGUACGUUCCAUGUCAGGUGACCAGAGGCAGUAUAAAAGGCAGCCUGGAAAGCAGAGGUCCCUCUCCGCCCCUUCCUCCGUCGUUCUGGAUGCUGCAUCGCUUCCAGCGGGGCUGCUGCAGCACCUGCCCAUCUCAGCGCCAGCCUGGGAAAGAAAGUAGACGUGUAACUUCAGGUGGCCCAACAGUCCACCCCUGAAAAAGGCGGUCAUAAAACCCCCAGGAGACGAAGAUGAUGGCACGUCGGGACCCCACAUCUUGGGCCAAGAGACUG
rnacentral:lncRNA from 10 species